GUGUCUGUAGUGUAGUGGUCAUCGCGUUUGCUUGACAUGCGAAAGGUCCACGGUUCGUAACCGAGCAGAAACA
rfam:Danio rerio chromosome 17, GRCz11 reference primary assembly.